CGCGUAGGCGGGAAGAGAAGUCCGGUGGGAAAGCCCACGGCUCAACCGUGGAAGAACGCUGGAAACUCUCUUUCUUGAGGGCGGCAGAGGGAAGUGGAAUUGCUGGUGUAGCGGUGAAAUGCGUAGAGAUCAGCAGGAACACCCGUGGCGAAGGCGGCUUCCUGGGCCGCCCCUGACGCUGAGGCGCGAAAGCGUGGGGAGCGAACG
rnacentral:rRNA from 1 species